rnacentral:rRNA from 1 species
GUCUGCAACUCGACUGCACGAAGCUGGAAUCGCUAGUAAUCGCGGAUCAGCACGCCGCGGUGAAUACGUUCCCGGGCCUUGUACACACCGCCCGUCACACCAUGGAAGUCUGCAAUGCCCGAAGCCGGUGGCCUAACCACUUAUGUGGAAGGAGCCGUCUAAGGCAGGGCAGAUGACUGGGGUGAAGUCGUAACAAGGUAAC